rnacentral:rRNA from 1 species
GAUGAACGCUAGCUACAGGCUUAACACAUGCAAGUCGAGGGGCAGCAUGGUCUUAGCUUGCUAAGGCCGAUGGCGACCGGCGCACGGGUGAGUAACACGUAUCCAACCUGCCGUCUACUCUUGGACAGCCUUCUGAAAGGAAGAUUAAUACAUGAUGGCAUCAUGAGUCCGCAUGUUCACAUGAUUAAAGGUAUUCCGGUAGACGAUGGGGAUGCGUUCCAUUAGAUAGUAGGCGGGGUAACGGCCCACCUAGUCUUCGAUGGAUAGGGGUUCUGAGAGGAAGGUCCCCCACAUUGGAACUGAGACACGGUCCAAACUCCUACGGGAGGCAGCAGUGAGGAAUAUUGGUCAAUGGGCGAGAGCCUGAACCAGCCAAGUAGCGUGAAGGAUGACUGCCCUAUGGGUUGUAAACUUCUUUUAUAAAGGAAUAAAGUCGGGUAUGGAUACCCGUUUGCAUGUACUUUAUGAAUAAGGAUCGGCUAACUCCGUG